rnacentral:rRNA from 1 species
AGGACGAACGCUGGCGGCGUGCUUAACACAUGCAAGUCGAGCGGAAAGGCCCUUCGGGGUACUCGAGCGGCGAACGGGUGAGUAACACGUGGGCAACCUGCCCCUAGCUCUGGGAUAACUCCGGGAAACCGGUGCUAAUACCGGAUACGACCUCAUUAGGCAUCCUUUGAGGUGGAAAGAUUUAUUGGCUAGGGAUGGGCCCGCGGCCUAUCAGCUUGUUGGUGGGGUAAUGGCCUACCAAGGCGACGACGGGUAGCCGGCCUGAGAGGGCGACCGGCCACACUGGGACUGAGACACGGCCCAGACUCCUACGGGAGGCAGCAGUAGGGAAUCUUGCGCAAUGGGCGAAAGCCUGACGCAGCCAUGCCGCGUGAAUGAUGAAGGUCUUAGGAUUGUAAAAUUCUUUCAGCGGGGACGAUAAUGACGGUACCCGCAGAAGAAGCCCCGGCUAACUUCGUGCCAGCAGCCGC